UGCCUAAAGAUAAUUCUAUUCUAGGUACCACCUGCCCAGUGAAAACCAAAUUCAACGGCCGCGGAAACCCGUGCGAAGGUAGCAUAAUCAUUUGCCCCUUAAUUAGGGGCUCGUAUGAACGGAUAAACGAGAAAUUACCUGUCUCUAGAGCACAAAUAAAACCUAUCCUUUAUGUGAAAAGACAUAAAUUAAAAUAGAAGACAAGAAGACCCUACUGCACUUAAUUGCUAAGACCGUACUAACCUUCCAUUCAAUUUCGUUGGGGCGACACAGGAUAAACUAACCCAUCCUAAAAACCAAAGAGUAACCACUCACAUUAAUUGACCCUAAUAAGAUUAACGACAAAGCCACCAUAGGGAUAACAGGCCAAUCCCCUCUUAGAGCCCAAAUCGACGAGGGGGGUUGGCACCUCGAUGUUGGCUUAGGGUACCGCAUAGGCGCAGCCGCCUAUAGCCUUAGGUUUGUUCAACCUCCGCUGACCCU
rnacentral:rRNA from 1 species